AGACCAACCGGGAUUGCCUCAGUAACGGCGAGUGAAGCGGCAAGAGCUCAAAUUUGAAAUCUGGCCCCUUUGGGGUCCGAGUUGUAAUUUGCAGAGGAUGCUUCGGGUGCGGUCCCCGUCUAAGUGCCCUGGAACGGGCCGUCAUAGAGGGUGAGAAUCCCGUAUGGGAUGGGCGGCCGCGCCCGUGUGAAGCUCCUUCGACGAGUCGAGUUGUUUGGGAAUGCAGCUCUAAGCGGGUGGUAAAUUUCAUCUAAAGCUAAAUACUGGCCGGAGACCGAUAGCGCACAAGUAGAGUGAUCGAAAGAUGAAAAGCACUUUGAAAAGAGAGUUAAACAGCACGUGAAAUUGUUGAAAGGGAAGCGUUGUCCACCAGACUCGCCCGGGGGGGUUCAGCCGGCACGUGUGCCGGUGUACUCCUCUCCGGGCGGGCCAGCAUCGGUUCGGGCGGCUGGUGAAAGGCCCCGGGAAUGUGCCACCCUUCGGGGUGCCUUAUAGCCCGGGGUGCCAUGCAGCCAGCCUGGACCGAGGCCCGCGCUUCGGCGAGGAUGCUGGCGUAAUGGUGGUCAACGGCCCGUCUUGAAACACGGACCAAGGAGUCUAACAUCUAUGCGAGUGUUCGGGUGUCAAACCCGUCCGCGCAGUGAAAGCGAACGGAGGUGGGAGCCCCUCGGGGCGCACCAUCGACCGAUCCUGAUGUCUUCGGAUGGAUUUGAGUAAGAGCAUAGCUGUUGGGACCCGAAAGAUGGUGAACUAUGCCUGAAUAGGGCGAAGCCAGAGGAAACUCUGGUGGAGGCUCGCAGCGGUUCUGACGUGCAAAUCGAUCGUCAAAUUUGGGUAUAGGGGCGAAAGACUAAUCGAACCAUCUGGUAGCUGGUUCCUGCCGAAGUUUUCCCCCUCAGGAAA
rnacentral:rRNA from 1 species